UGAACUUGUUCGAAAAUCAUCAUCAACCAACCGAUAAAUUUUAAUUCGGACUUCUGUUUGCCGACAACAUUAACCCACUCUGCUGCUGCUAAUAGUGCCACAAUCUGCAGUUUCAGCCUAUGUUCUGAGUGAAACAGGGUCGUGAUCGUUUCAUCGCAACACACCAACACCAUGUCUCUACGUAUCAAUUAUCAGAACAAUUUUAGAUCGAUUGGAAGUUAGGGUUUUGUUUCUAGCACUUACCAUCAUUAUCAGAUGCUUUAUAUAAUCUAAGCAUUUGAGACGGGAGGUGGUAGUGAAACCGACUACAAUGAUUGCCAAGAAGUCGAACCGAUGAAGCAUUCAAUCUGGAAUUGAUUUGCCGGUGCUGUAUGGAAUGAGAAUUGAAUUGCCAAUGAGGAAUGAUCGCCCUUUGGAAAAAAUGGCAACUAUUUAGUAAGGGAUGAGACUUUUCUCUGCUGGAUGUUCAUGAAGGAAAUCCACUGCCUAGCCAUCAAGCGGGAAUUCGAUAUUCAAUAUUUCUGAUCAUUGCUGAGCAUAUUGUCUUUACCUUUUUACGAUAUUGCAGCUUUGACGAAGCUUGAGCUCAUUAAUCGCCCAAACUUCGAAGGAGCUACAUUGUUCGCACGCAAGAUUAAGAUGAACAAAAACUCAGGCUGGAAAGACGAGUCAUACAAGCCUCAGUUCCCUAUCUAUCAGCAGAUCAAGUUCACUUUAGAUCCAGCGACCAACAUGGUGCGCUACAAGCUU
rnacentral:lncRNA from 1 species